GGAGGGAUCAUUACCGAGUUUACAACUCCCAAACCCCUGUGAACAUACCUUAUGUUGCCUCGGCGGAUCAGCCCGCGCCCCGUAAAAAGGGACGGCCCGCCGCAGGAACCCUAAACUCUGUUUUUAGUGGAACUUCUGAGUAUAAAAAACAAAUAAAUCAAAACUUUCAACAACGGAUCUCUUGGUUCUGGCAUCGAUGAAGAACGCAGCAAAAUGCGAUAAGUAAUGUGAAUUGCAGAAUUCAGUGAAUCAUCGAAUCUUUGAACGCACAUUGCGCCCGCCAGUAUUCUGGCGGGCAUGCCUGUUCGAGCGUCAUUUCAACCCUCAAGCCCAGCUUGGUGUUGGGAGCUGCAGUCCUGCUGCACUCCCCAAAUACAUUGGCGGUCACGUCGAGCUUCCAUAGCGUAGUAAUUUACACAUCGUUACUGGUAAUCGUCGCGGCCACGCCGUUAAACCCCAACUUCUGAAUGUUGACCUCGGAUCAGGUAG
rnacentral:rRNA from 1 species